rnacentral:rRNA from 1 species
AACGAACGCUGGCGGCAUGCCUAACACAUGCAAGUCGAACGAUCCCUUCGGGGAUAGUGGCGCACGGGUGCGUAACGCGUGGGAACCUGCCCUUAGGUUCGGAAUAACUCAGAGAAAUUUGAGCUAAUACCGGAUAAUGUCUUCGGACCAAAGAUUUAUCGCCUUUGGAUGGGCCCGCGUUGGAUUAGCUAGUUGGUGGGGUAAAGGCCUACCAAGGCGACGAUCCAUAGCUGGUCUGAGAGGAUGAUCAGCCACACUGGGACUGAGACACGGCCCAGACUCCUACGGGAGGCAGCAGUGGGGAAUAUUGGACAAUGGGCGAAAGCCUGAUCCAGCAAUGCCGCGUGAGUGAUGAAGGCCUUAGGGUUGUAGAGCUCUUUUACCCGGGAUGAUAAUGACAGUACCGGGAGAAUAAGCCCCGGCUAACUCCGUG